rnacentral:tRNA from 1 species
AUUUAGAUAGCUUAGUUAGAGCGUUGCAUUGAAGAUGCAAAGGGGUGUUUUCUCUAAAUA